GUACGGAAGGCAGCAGUGGGGAAUUUUCCGCAAUGGGCGAAAGCCUGACGGAGCAACGCCGCGUGAGGGAUGAAGGUCUUCGGAUCGUAAACCUUUGUCUAGAGGGACGAUAAUGACGGUACCUCUGGAGGAAGCCACGGCUAACUACGUGCCAGCAGCCGCGGUAAUACGUAGGUGGCAAGCGUUGUCCGGAAUUACUGGGCGUAAAGGGCGUGUAGGCGGCUUUUUAAGUCGGACGUGAAAUCGAUGGGCUUAACCCAUCAAUUGCGUUCGAAACUGGAGAGCUUGAGGAUCGGAGAGGGCAGUGGAAUUCCCAGUGUAGCGGUGAAAUGCGUAGAUAUUGGGAGGAACACCAGUGGCGAAGGCGACUGCCUGGACGACACCUGACGCUGAGGCGCGAAAGCUAGGGGAGCAAACGGGAUUAGAUACCCUGGUAU
rnacentral:rRNA from 1 species